AAACCAGCACCUCAAGUGGUCAGGAUGAUUAUUGGGCCUAAAGCAUCCGUAGCCUGCUUUGUAAGUUUUCGGUUAAAUCCAUACGCUCAACGUAUGGGCUGCCGGAAAUACUGCAAAGCUAGGGAGUGGGAGAGGUAGACGGUACUCGGUAGGAAGGGGUAAAAUCCUUUGAUCUAUCGAUGACCACCUGUGGCGAAGGCGGUCUACCAGAACACGUCCGACGGUGAGGGAUGAAAGCUGGGGGAGCAAACCGGAUUAGAAACCCUGGUAGUCC
rnacentral:rRNA from 1 species